rnacentral:rRNA from 1 species
CCUACGGGAUGCAGCAGUGGGGGAUAUUGCACAAUGGGGGGAACCCUGAUGCAGCGACGCCGCGUGGGUGAAGAAGCGCCUCGGCGCGUAAAGCCCUGUCAGCAGGGAAGAAAAUGACGGUACCUGAAGAAGAAGCCCCGGCUAACUACGUGCCAGCAGCCGCGGGAAUACGUAGGGGGCAAGCGUUAUCCGGAUUUACUGGGUGUAAAGGGGGCGAAGACGGCGAUGCAAGCCAGGAGUGAGAGCCCGGGGCCCAACCCCGGGACUGCUCUUGGAACUGCGUGGCUGGAGUGCAGGAGGGGCAGGCGGAAUUCCUGGUGUAGCGGUGAAAUGCGUAGAUAUCAGGAUGAACACCGGUGGCGAAGGCGGCCUGCUGGACUGCAACUGACGUUGAGGCCCGAAAGCGUGGGGAGCAAACAGGAUUAGAUACCCCAGUAGUC